CUCCCGUGGAUUCUGACACUGGCUCUGUGUGAAGGGACCUGAUCUCUCACGGCAACGCAUCCCUGCUGCUACAGAACACCAGCAUUCAGGACCAGGGCAGAUACAAGUGUUACACCAGCACCACACUGGGCAACCAGGAGUCCUUUGUGAGCCUGAGAGUGGAGGCUCCCAUCAAAUCAGUGAGCAUGGAGAGGACCAG